GCGGGCGUGAUGGAACUGGUAGACAUAUCGGACUUAAAAUCCGUGGGCCGUAAGGCCGUGGGGGUUCAAAUCCCCCCGCCCGCA
rnacentral:tRNA from 1 species